CAACCCUCAGGCUCUGCCUGGCGUUGGGGUCCUGCGAUGCAGCCCCCUAAAGACAGCGGCGAGCACGCCCCGAAGCUGAACGUAGUACUACAUCUCGUUCCGGUGCAGGGCGUCCUCGGCCGGAAAACACUUCUAUGG
rnacentral:misc_RNA from 1 species